GGGGAUUUAGCUCAGUGGUAGAGCGCUUGCCUAGCAAAUGAAAGGCCCUGGGUUCGGUCCCCAGCUCCA
rfam:Rattus norvegicus chromosome 7, whole genome shotgun sequence.